rnacentral:rRNA from 1 species
UACGAAGGGGGCUAGCGUUGUUCGGAAUCACUGGGCGUAAAGGGCGCGUAGGCGGCCGAUUAAGUCGGGGGUGAAAGCCUGUGGCUCAACCACAGAAUUGCCUUCGAUACUGAUUGGCUUGAGACCGGAAGAGGUCAGUGGAACUGCGAGUGUAGAGGUGAAAUUCGUAGAUAUUCGCAAGAACACCAGUGGCGAAGGCGGCUUCCUGGACCGGCAUUGACGCUGAGGAGCGAAAGCCAGGGGAGCAAACGGG